GUAGUUUGGCCGCCAUUCAGCAGAGGGCGCCGCUGGUCAUCUCUAAGCGGAGCCGUUGAUAAAGAAACAAAAAUGGCGGCGGGGCUUUGCCAGAAGAGAAAGGUAAACGGUCCAAAAGGAGUCCGGUGUGGGAUGGAAAAUGUACAUUGUGCUGUUCUGUUUUGAAAUAUAGACACUCUACAAACUCGUUGAGUUUCAGUUUAAAAUAUCGCUCAUUCAGCCGAGCGGAGCAGCGUCAUCAUUGAAACGUUACUGACGUGCUACGAAGUUACGAAGCAGAUGAGGUCUGCCAAUGUCUGCUCAAGGGACUGAAGGAGAGUCCAGUCAUGUCCCAUGCUGACUCUUUGCUGCUGGCUGAAAUGGAGGAUGAGAUCCGCUGGCAGCUGUCUGCAGACCACCUCUGCAUGCUGCUGGCUCCAGUGGUCGUCACACACCGUCCCCCAGUCGCCGUUGUGAAACACCUCCACCCGACCCUCCCAGGGAGUGUCGCCUCCAACCAGACGCACCACGCCAUCUGAAACAUCGUCGAAAUCUACACUGUAGCCACCAGAUGACAGAAGUAUGGACGGACGUACCCGUAACCGAGCUGUCUGCACACCACCUCGGCGUCUCUGUCGUCCCACUGGUCGUCGCAGACGGAG